UUCCCAGCAUGCUUUACAGUCCUCCGUCCUGAGCAGUGUCUACAUCGGAGGGCCCGGGCCCCGGGUGGGGGCGCUCCUUGCUCUGCUCUCCAGGGAGCUGGAUGGCAUCCCUCUCCAUCCUCGCUCUUGAAUGGCUGUCGCUAAUUAGGAAGGUGAAGCGACGGGCAGCUGGCGAGCUAGGGGAGGGUAUGAAGGCUGCAUUGAGGCUUGUUGGAUUCACAAGCAGUACUCUUUCCUCAAAGGAUCGUACACGUCCUGACAGUCUGGAUGGAGCUCAGAGAUUAUUAAGCAGAUUCGAAGUGGGAGGUGGCUGCUGAUUUUUCUGGCAGCUGAUUUCUAGCAGUUGGAGCCAGUAGAUGGGACACCUGCUUUCUCCACUGGACUCCAUUUGACCUUUCUGCUGCCCCCACUUGAAGUCCAUUACUUGUAGCUUCUUAUCCUUUGAGAUGUGGUCUUUAUUAUUGGACCCUGAAAAAACCCGGAUUGCUGCACCUCAAGCUGUGUUGUAUUCUGGAAAGGUGGUGCUGACACGAGCAAAUCAAGAACUGGUCUGAUGUGCUUCAAAACGCAAAAGGGGGACCUAAAAGCUCCUCAAGAAAAAUGCACUUUUGGAAGUGUCCAGCAGGUAUCAAGCCUUGAGAUGGGGUGAAUUCCAUCCAUACACAGAGCUGCCACCACACAUUUCUCCAGCACGAUCCACUCCUGGAUAACCGCCACAGUGAGCAGGAUUUUGGAGGUCUUCAGAGGGAGCCCCAUGUAUGUGCAGGAGGACUGCAGUGUUCCAAGGAGGUUUGUUGCGAGGAAGCAGCUACAAGGGAGAAGACAUGCACCUAACCCACAAUGCCUGGCCACUAGGCAUAUAAAGUCAUACAACAUAUCAUGAACAUUGCGGGGGUGGUGAACUCAUUUCCAGAUAUUUUAGUCCAUGAAAAAAGUAGCGUUUUUUAAAGGCAUUACAUCCCUAUGGCCCCAACUCCAGGAUAGGCGCUCAGUAGAAUUAAUUCCCUUCCCACUUUUCUGGGUUUGUUUUCCUCCAACAGACACCUUCAGCAUUUUAUGGCUCCUGGAAGCCACUGAGCAGGGUGGUGAAAUAUAAUCAAUUGAAUAUCGAGACUAAACUGUUAAGAUACAAGCAACCAAUGUUUGCUUUCAAGCAAAAUUCCAUUUUCCACUGAUUUGUUCCACAAGCACAGAGGUGGUACUCCAUACAAUUCUGUAUCUCACCUAAAGAGAGUCUCCGUUUUUCUUUUCUUUUAAAAAAGCUACUAGCAUUUAAGACUAUGAUUAUGCAAUGUGUAGUGGAAUCUCAAAAGACUGGGAUGGAGAGAAGAGAGGCCAGAGCAGGAUUUCCGGUGGACAAGGUAGCGAAACAUCAGUACCCUUCAUAACUCAUUGCAACUCCCCUACAAGUAGCGGAAGGAAAAAUACAUUAUGCAAAAAUGCAAGUGUUCAAGCGAAUUCAGCUCAUCUAAAAUACUUUUAGUGGCUGACAUGAUGGGGAGCCUUCUGUUGAUGUUAGAGACCUGGCCAGGGUUGCUGUGCAACUUAAGACAGCCCCAAUGGUGCAAUGAUGGUGCUGCCAUGGAAUGACUGUAAACUGCUUCCAGGCAGCAGUGCAGUGCUCCAGUGGUUUAAAGUCAUUCCGCAGCAGCCCUGUCAUUGCACCAUUGGGGUUGCCUUUUGGGAGACUGCUCAUGAUGUUGGCCAAUGUCUCUAGUGCAAUGUAUGCAGCCUUUGUGGCGAUGAAAAGGGUCUGGACCCCAUGUUGAGCUGAAAUGGAAACUAACUUUAAUCUUCCCUUUCCAAAACCUUCCCUAUCUCUCCACACAGUGCCACCUGGUAGCGAUGAAUGAUAUACAACUAUUACCACAGCCUGGACUACUCUUUUGUAGCUUACGUAUCAGCAAGAAGUCACUCACCAGAGAUUGUUCUGAGAAUAGGGAUGAACAACAGCCCAAUGCCAAUGUUUCUGAGCUCUUGAUUUUCACUGAUUUCCUCUUGCUUUUCUGAUAUUUGCUGCUCCAUUUCUUUAUGAUUUAUUUGAAUAAUUUCCAACAUCUUUAUGCACUGCUCUUCAGAGUUUCUAUAUGAAUCCAGUUGGAUCUGCACUUGAGGGAGAUGCUGUGUCUGUGCUCUUCUCUCACCCUCCAAAGUGUUCACUCUUGCACUUAGCUCCACAGAUUUGGCAUCAGCAGCCUUCAGCUCUCCAUCUAGCAGCUGCAAGGCAGUAUUCAUGUCUUGCAAUGCUCUCACAAUAUGAGCCCGCGUAUUCUUUGACAUGUUAGAGUCUGUUCUGGUUUCCAGCAAGCUCUGAACAAAGUUCACAAGUUCUUGCAUUCCAGACUGGAAAUGGGGGUGGACAUUCGAGAAAAUCUCAGUGCUUUCAAAGGAAGAUGAACUGGCCAUGAUACAAGGAAUCCUAGGGGCAGAAUAAUGGACAGCAAGUCACUUUGGAACUAAUAAGAAACAUGUGUUAUAAGAUAAUUGUGGGCUCACAUGGAACAGGAACAUAGAAAAGAUCCAGAAAAGCUGAGGAAAAGGUGCUUAGGGUGGGCAUGAUAAAGGUUUGUAACAAGAAUCUGGAGAGAGCAGGCAGAGGGCUGUAUCAUACCUUUUUGUCUGGCUUCUUUCUUCUGUGAUGUCUAAGAGAGAGAAUGUUGCUCUUGGUCAGAAGGACAUCAGAGCAAAGGUUAAUUCUUCCCAGUAGAAGGCAGGGCUAAAACAAAUGUGCCUGGAGAGAAAGAGAGGAGACAAGGAACUCACUUCAUGCUGUCUUUUCCUUUCCACUCCCUCAAGGUUUCACUGCCCUAAACCCAAGACAAUAGACUUCUCCAUGAACUGCCUUCAGUUCUCUUCAGGGGCUAUGGUUUUUGGAGAGUGUUUUGUUGUAGGGGUGUACAAGUACAAGAUUGCUAUUUGAAAGUAAAAUUUAACUGACAGGUAGUAUUAAUAGACAAAGCAAUAAGUUAGCUGCCACAGAAGGCACUUGGGGCUUUAUUUAGCAAUUUUUUAAAAAUGAACAAGAAGUGAACAUAGAGAUGUGAAGGCCUGGAACAAAAACAGCUUAAAAACCCCACAGGUUUAACCACCCUCCAAAAUAAGAGACACCCCCCCCCAAAGGGAAAUAAAUGGUUAUUGUUCCCUGGUUGUUUUCCAGGCCUUCGCAUCGUCUUAAGUGAGCAUUUUUUAUAUCUUAUAUAAUUCAUAGUGAUUCUGCUAUCACAGUUAGUCCCCAUUGGACUAACCCUAAUGUUGCCACAUCCUUCCCCCAACACACACACUAAAUUAGUGCGGAACAUUAUAGAAGCAUGUACACAUCCUUUGACACCCAUGAGCAGCCAGGUUAGGAAGUCCGUGCCUGUUUUCCUUGUCAAGCACGCACACACUAGAUGCCUUAGCUUACCGACUAAAAGUUAUUAAAUGAAAUCCAUUGCUAGGUUAAUCUUACCACUGUGCUUCACUGCCUUUCACUGCAGUGCUGGCCAGACACUGAAUUUUUU